rnacentral:rRNA from 1 species
AGAGUUUGAUCCUGGCUCAGGAUGAACGCUGGCGGCGUGCCUAACACAUGCAAGUCGAGCGAUCUUCUUCGGAAGAGAGCGGCGGACGGGUGAGUAACGCGUGGGUAACCUGCCUCAUACACAUGGAUAACAUACCGAAAGGUAUGCUAAUACAAGAUGAUAUAAGAGAUUCGCAUGGAUUUCUUAUCAAAGCUCCGGCGGUAUGAGAUGGACCCGCGUCUGAUUAGCUAGUUGGUAAGGUAACGGCUUACCAAGGCGACGAUCAGUAGCCGACCUGAGAGGAUGAUCGGCCACAUUGGAACUGAGACACGGUCCAAACUCCUACGGGAGGCAGCAGUGGGGAAUAUUGCACAAUGGGCGAAAGCCUGAUGCAGCAACGCCGCGUGAGCGAUGAAGGCCUUCGGGUCGUAAAGCUCUGUCUUCAGGGACGAUAAUGACGGUACCUGAGGAGGAAGCCACGGCUAACUACGUGCCAGCAGCCGCGGUAAUACGUAGGUGGCGAGCGUUGUCCGGAUUUACUGGGCGUAAAGGGAGCGUAGGCGGAUUUUUAAGUGAGAUGUGAAAUACUCGGGCUUAACCUGAGUGCUGCAUUUCAAACUGGAAGUCUAGAGUGCAGGAGAGGAGAAGGGAAUUCCUAGUGUAGCGGUGAAAUGCGUAGAGAUUAGGAAGAACACCAGUGGCGAAGGCGCUUCUCUGGACUGUAACUGACGCUGAGGCUCGAAAGCGUGGGGAGCAAACAGGAUUAGAUACCCUGGUAGUCCACACUGUAAACGAUGAUAACUCGCUGCCGGCGAUACACAGUCGGUGGCCAAGCGAAAGCAUUAAGUUAUCCCACCUGGGGAGUACGACCGCAAGGUUGAAACUCAAAGGAAUUGACGGGGGCCCGCACAAGCGGAGGAACAUGUGGUUUAAUUCGAUGAUACGCGAGGAACCUUACCCGGGCUCGAACGGUGCAUGAAUAUACGAGAGAUUGUAUAGUCCUUCGGGACAUGUAUCGAGGUGCUGCAUGGUUGUCGUCAGCUCGUGCCGUGAGGUGUCGGCUUAAGUGCCAUAACGAGCGCAACCCUUGUCAUUAGUUGCCAUCAGGUCAAGCUGGGGACUUUAAUGAGACUGCCACCGUAAGGUGUGAGGAAGGGGGGGAUGACGUCAAAUCAACACGGCCCUUAUGUCCGGGGCGACACACGUGUCACAAUGGGAGGUACAGAGGGCAGCUAUCCGGUGACGGAAUGCUAAUCUCCAAAACCUUUCUCAGUUCGGAUUGGAGUCUGCAACUCGACUCCAUGAAGGUGGAUUCGCUAGUAAUCGCGCAUCAGCCAUGGCGCGGUGAAUAAAAGCCCGGGCCUUGCACUCUCCGCCCGUCA